UCUGGGGAGACAACAGAACGUUAAGAGCAGCCCUGAGGCGGACACGGGCUGAUCCCAACAGCAGUAAGAUCCUACAAUACAAGCCCUGCUUCAUUGGUCCUGGGGGUAGCAGCCUCCACUGCCUCCCGGAUGAUUUUAGCAGGCAAGCAGUGCUUGCGUAUGACAAGCAGUCGAGUUCAACGUGAGGCAAGACUAAAACUGAUGCACCCUGGGAACAAGCUAAAUUGUUCUCCGGGGCAGGCACACUGCAAUCUCAGGGAAGACAGCUUCGUGGAAGGGGAAGGCUAUCUGAGCUGUGUAAAGAGGGAAAGUCAAUUUCCCUCUCUGAUCCUUCCUCAUCUGUAACCCGGGGACCUUCAGAUCUAACUCUGGCUCCCACACUACCUGUUAGGUGCCCUGGAAGGCCACUGCAAAUUCGCAAAGAGUGUCUGGGGGAGGUUGUACAUUUUCAAAUGCAAUCCCAGGAUAUCCAUGAGACACCAGGUAAACUUGAAGCUUGAAGCAGUUCAGGCUUCCAACAUCAGAUUACCACAUCUCUUGUGAUGACGUGACCACUUUGCAAAGCUGUUUUUCAAAGUACCCUGAUAAAAAGCAAACACCAAGGAACUUCAUGUGAAACAGAAACUAGGUUAGUGGUCUCCAAUCUGAUCCCAAGAUUUGAGAGGCGGUGCCGUGCCCCAUAGGUGCUACAUUGUUAAGGCACAAAUACUUAUUAAAGUGUUUUGAUCUAUUUAAAAAGAGAGCCUUGGGUAUUAUUUCUUUUGGCCAGGGGCUCUGUGAAAAAUUUCCUGAGAUACUAACGUGCUGUGAACCAAGGCAGUUUCGGAACCUCUAACCUAACUCAGUAGGCUUCAAUGAAGACCGAAUAAGAUGAUGUCUGGGAGAGUACUUUGAAAAGUUGAAGGCAGAAGUUGGCAAACUUUCUGUAAAGGGCCAGGCAACUACUCACUUCUGCUGAUGUAGCACACAUUGAAGGCGUCAAAUGGAUGGGCAUGUUUUCUAAAAUAACUUAUUUACAAAAACACUUGGUGGACUGGAUUUGGCCACCUAGGCCAUAAUUUGCUAACUUCUGGUCUAAAGUGUGUCCUAGAGUGCAUGAAAGAAGCUGGAGAAAAAUCACCAUGGAGUUUAUCCUGGUUUUGCCUCUCAUGGAAAGAAGAGAGACAACUGAAGCCUCAAUCCAGGUAAAGAAGCAUUCUUGCAAGCCCAUCCAUGUAAAGUGUAUGAAAAGUGGGCCUUUUCCCUGAAAUUAUCCAGAUCCUGAUUUCAUUUACAUUUUGUUUUAUGAUUUUGGGGAAAUUCCAUCAGUAACCUAACAGGUUUAUUUCCUAUCUUUAGGAAAUAAAUAUACAGAUAGUAAAUUGUGCAGUUCGUAUCUGCAGAGCUUUCAUUCUUGGUCAUCUUUUUAUAACAUCAAAGAUAACUGCAACAAACAGGUCUGGGGACAAGAACAGGGAAGCACAAGACCAGUUUCACUGCAGCUAUAAAAAUAACCCUUUGUUUCCCAUUGUACUUUACAAGCAGGCGGCACUCUGCGUGUCCUGGAAAGGUUGGGUCUGCUGACCUUGGAGGGUUUUUUAUGAUCAGUAAGGAGCAGGGACAUAUGGCCCCAGGUGAAACCUUGGGUGAGUUGGGCCGUCCAUACAAGGCUCAUGAGAUAAGUCAUCUCACUUGGGCCUUUCAGGGUCCGGUGAAAUGAGUAUAAUCCCCUCACUUUACAGACCAACAAACUGAGGUUCAAAGAGGCUAAUAAACUGGCCCAACGAUGUACAAUGAGUAAGUAAGUGGUUAUGUCACUUCACAUGUUUAGCCUUUCCCAGUCUCAUCUGUCAAAGGGUCUGUAAGAUUCUCUUCAAAACUUGCACAACCCCACCCCUCUGGGAAGGCACCAGAAAGCCUGAGCCAGCUCUCCUGGGAGGCUGCAGGGCAGUGAGUGUGCCUGCAUCCAGUGGCAGCAGUGCACACAGGGAGCGAGCAGCACCAGGCACUUCUCCCUCCAUGGCAGGGUCUACACGUCCCCCAGUGCACAUCUCAAGCUCAUACGAUACACUCUGCCAAGUCCAUUUUGAAUUCCAUGGCCUGAAUCAUUAACUUUCAAAGCCAAAGCAUUUAAAAGAUAAAAUUAUCCUCUUGGCACUCCUCAAACUGUGCUCUUGACCUCUUCUGUUAGGCUACAGUUUUGUUUCUGGCUGUGCAAAUGUCACAUAAUGCCACUGCACCCGGCAGUAUCUUCUUCAUAGCAACAGAUCAUAAUAAAAGUCCCUCGGAGGCUGUUUGUGUUUCACAUACACAUGGAAUGAAAGAAAAAUGCAGUGUGCUAUAUAAAGCAAGAGAAAUGCAUAAGCUUCAUCUUUCAUUUGCAGCCAAUUGGUUUUAAUAAGCUUUUAUGCUGAGAGGUGAAUAAUUAGCAUAUGUUCUUAAUUAAGAUUGUUCUAGAGCAGUAGAGUGCUCCAGGUCGUUAAAAAUGGUUUUGUGUCUCAAUGUCUUAAUUCUCUUAUCUUCUCAUCAGUCAAAAUACUUACAAGAAAUGAGAAUGUUUAGAUUUUUGUAUUUGCAUAAAUAAAUACUAGAAGGAAAAAUAAGGAAUUCAUUAAAACGGUUAUCAGUAUUGACGGUAGAUGCAGGGUAAAGGGGAAGGAAUGGGAGCAGGAUUUCCUUAUGUAUAAUUUUAAUUUUAUUUUGACUUUAGAAACAGGUAAAUGUAUUACCUGCUUCAAACUGAUGGAUGGACAGACAGAAAGAGCAGCAAACCAACAAGCCUCCAGCUCUCAGGCCUCUCACCUCUGGCCUUGCAUUUUCUUAAGUGUGGGUCAGCGUUAUAAGGAAAUCAGACAAAAAUACAGGAGAUGGAGUUUUGCUCUGUCACCCAGGCUGGAGGGCAAUGACACCACCAUAGCUCACUGGAGCCUGGAGCUCCUGGGCUCACAUGAUCCUCCCACCUCAGCCUCCCAGGUAGCUGGGACUACAGCCACACACCACUGUGGUGGGCUCACAGCUCUCAGUAAAUUAUGGAGACUACUGCAAAAUUCAAUAAAUGCUCGCACCGGAAAGGACAGUGGAAAAUCCCAAACUUUUAAAGCUUGCCCAGGAAUAGGAAAGCUUUCUUCCAGGCGAUCCAAGGACCAGCCUCCGUAAGACCAGGACCCAAACUUCAGUUUGCAGUGCUGCACAUCAAAGGGAAACCAGCGUACAUCGAUGUAGCAGGAACUCUUGAAUAUGCCUGUGUGGGUGAUGGAAACAGAAGACUGAAACGGAAGCUGACUGAGAUGUGCUGAAAAUACACAGCAGUUCCUUCAGCCGGUUCCGCCCUCCGCACUGCAGCUAACACAGUCCAGAGCAAACGGAAUCUGUCUUUUUAUUUAUUCGCAAAAUCUGUAAAACAGAAUCUCAGCUAAGCUUCACUGUCUUUUAAAAUCCAAACGUAACACUGACAUGCUCUCUCAAAGACUGUUUUGUGGGCUUUUUGUGCAAAAAGUUAGCUCUAUAAUCUGCAUUUACCAUGAGCAUCUUCAGACUCUAAAUAAUAAAAGUAAAGAAUGCAAAAUAUCUCAGAGAAGUUGAUAACCCUGAUGAUGAAGUUAGAAAUAGAAUCUAAAAGGUGUGUGUGUGUGUGUGUGUGUCUGUUUGGUGCGGGGUGAGGUAGGCAUUUUCUUUAGGUUAAAAAUGGGAAGAACACAUGAUUAUCGAGAAAUACAAUCUAGAAUUCUGGUUAAAGCUAGAAUUUUAACUAAUUUAAAUUCUAGAUGAAGAACAGAACAAGCUGGGCACAGUGUCUCAUGCCCGUAAUCCCAGUGACUCUAAGACAUUGACGUGGGAGGGUCACUUGAGACUAGGAGUUUGAGACCGGACUGGGCAACAUAGUGAGACAUCUCUAAUAAAAAAAAUUAGCUGGGUGAGGUGAUGCAUGCCUGUAGUCCCAGCUACUCAGAAGGCUAAGGCAGGAGCAUUGCUUGAGCCCAGGAGUUUGAGGCUAAAGUGAAGUGAGCUAUGAUCGAGCCCCUGCACUCCAGCCUGGGGAACACACCUAGAAUCUGUCUGUAAGAAAAAAAGUUAAAACAAACAAACAAACAAACAAACAAAAACAAGAACAGAUAGAUAGGUUUAAGCUGAAGAGAUGGUGCUUGAAGGAAGAGUUUCCGCUGAAAAGAGCUAUUCCAGGCUAGGACAGGUUGGAAGUGGAUUUCCCAGAGGGCCAAGGGGAGGAAACCAGAUAGAGGCCACUCCAGUUAUUUACACUCAUGUGCUCUUCCCUGCCCAGAGGAAGGCUGCAUGGCACAAGAAGACAGGCACAGACUCGGUGUCCAGGUGUUCCUGGGGCAGGGCUGGCACUCUGCAAACUUCUGUUACUGAGUUACAGAAAGAGUGCACGCAGGAAGGGCCUCCACAGCCUUGCACACAAGGACCCCACCCCACAACCGAGUUGGGAAAAGAUACACAUUUUGUCCCCUGAAGUUCCUUUAAGUAUGCUUUGCGUCCUUACAUGAAAUGUUUAUAGGAAUCUGGAAUCAUCACAGACAAUCCCCCUCCAUUAAUAGUUGGAUCCCCCCAAAACCCACCUUGUCUGCCAGUUAGUUGGAAAGCUUUGUAACUUCAUGAGCCCAUUUCUACGAAAUAAUGGCCCGAGACAGAGAAUUUCUAGAGACAGAAAGCAGAUCAGUGGUUGCUGGGAGUAGGAAUGGGAAUUAACUGCAAACAAGCAAAAGGGAUCUUUGUGGGGUGAUGGGAAUGUUCUAAAACUAGACUGUGGUAAUGGUUGCAUAAGUCUGUAAAUAUACUAAAAGUUGUUGAAUCAUGUACUUAAAAUGCAUGAUAUGUAAAUUCUCUCUCAAUAAAGCUGUUAAAAAAUAAACACAUGAAAUGGGGGGGAAA